CCUACGGGGGGCAGCAGUGAGGAAUAUUGGUCAAUGGGCGAGAGCCUGAACCAGCCAAGUCGCGUGAAGGAUGAAGGAUCUAUGGUUUGUAAACUUCUUUUAUAUGGGAAUAAAGUGAGGAACGUGUUCCUUUUUGUAUGUACCAUAUGAAUAAGCAUCGGCUAACUCCGUGCCAGCAGCCGCGGUAAUACGGAGGAUGCGAGCGUUAUCCGGAUUUAUUGGGUUUAAAGGGUGCGUAGGUGGUUAAUUAAGUCAGCGGUGAAAGUUUGUGGCUCAACCAUAAAAUUGCCGUUGAAACUGGUUGACUUGAGUAUAUUUGAGGUAGGCGGAAUGCGUGGUGUAGCGGUGAAAUGCAUAGAUAUCACGCAGAACUCCGAUUGCGAAGGCAGCUUACUAAACUAUAACUGACACUGAAGCACGAAAGCGUGGGGAUCAAAC
rnacentral:rRNA from 1 species